AGCUUGCUCCGCUGACGAGUGGCGAACGGGUGAGUAAUAUAUCGGAACGUGCCCUAGAGUGGGGGAUAACUAGUCGAAAGAUUAGCUAAUACCGCAUACGAUCUACGGAUGAAAGUGGGGGAUCGCAAGACCUCAUGCUCAUGGAGCGGCCGAUAUCUGAUUAGCUAGUUGGUAGGGUAAAAGCCUACCAAGGCAUCGAUCAGUAGCUGGUCUGAGAGGACGACCAGCCACACUGGGACUGAGACACGGCCCAGACUCCUACGGGAGGCAGCAGUGGGGAAUUUUGGACAAUGGGCGCAAGCCUGAUCCAGCAAUGCCGCGUGAGUGAAGAAGGCCUUCGGGUUGUAAAGCUCUUUUGUCAGGGAAGAAACGGACUG
rnacentral:rRNA from 1 species